UACAGAGGGGGCAAGCGUUGUUCGGAAUUCCUGGGCGUAACGGGCGCGUAGGCGGCCUGUUAAGUCGAACGUGAAAUCCCUAGGCUCAACCUAGGAACUGCGUCCGAUACUGGCAGGCUUGAAUCCGGGAGAGGGAUGCGGAAUUCCAGGUGUAGCGGUGAAAUGCGUAGAUAUCUGGAGGAACACCGGUGGCGAAGGCGGCAUCCUGGACCGGCAUUGACGCUGAGGCGCGAAAGCCAGGGGAGCAAACGGG
rnacentral:rRNA from 1 species